rnacentral:lncRNA from 1 species
AAAGAUCAGAGAUUAGAAUCAUCAAUGCAUGUGCAUGUUUAUCUGAAAGUUUGUGGUACACUUGUAUCAACUCACUCACACACAGUCACAAAAAUCACAAAGGCAUGCGUGCAUUAAAAACGUUGUCUGCUCCAUUCCCAGCUGUGUAUGCUGUACGUACGUUUUGUUUUGUCCACUGCAGAAGCACAGUAAUUAAUUCCCUGUUUGGCUUGGGCUCCCCAAA